rnacentral:rRNA from 1 species
AACGAACGCUGGCGGCAUGCCUAAUACAUGCAAGUCGAACGAUCACUUCGGUGGUAGUGGCGCACGGGUGCGUAACGCGUGGGAAUCUGCCCUUGGGUUCGGAAUAACGUCGGGAAACUGACGCUAAUACGGGAUGAUGACGUAAGUCCAAAGAUUUAUCGCCCAGGGAUGAGCCCGCGUAGGAUUAGCUAGUUGGUGGGGUAAAGGCCUACCAAGGCGACGAUCCUUAACUGGUCUGAGAGGAUGAUCAGCCACACUGGGACUGAGACACGGCCCAGACUCCUACGGGAGGCAGCAGUAGGGAAUAUUGGACAAUGGGGGCAACCCUGAUCCAGCAAUGCCGCGUGAGUGAUGAAGGCCUUAGGGUUGUAAAGCUCUUUUACCCGGGAUGAUAAUGACAGUACCGGGAGAAUAAGCCCCGGCUAACUCCGUGCCAGCCGCCGCCGUAA